ACAUGUGAGGGUGAUCUGGCUGUGACUUCUGUCACCCCCUUGAUUACCAGGGUUGAUUCAGUUGAUCUGGCUGGCUAGGUGGGUGUCCCUUUCCCCACUUACUGCUCCAUGUGUGUCCCUCCUGAAUCUGUGCGCUUGGUUGAAGAGGAUGACCAUCCCGGAUAGAGGAGGACCAGUCUUUGGUCAAGGGUAUACAAGUAGCUGUGCCCGCUUGCUAGAACCUCCAAACAAGCUCUCAAGGUCCAAACAUCCAGCAGAUAAUUAGCAAUGGAUUAGAAAAGGGAGCUGGGAAGGUGGAAGGAAGCAGAAACAGU
rnacentral:snRNA from 10 species